rnacentral:tRNA from 2 species
UGGGGUAUCGCCAAGCGGUAAGGCGCCGGAUUCUGAUUCCGGCAUUCCGAGGUUCGAAUCCUCGUACCCCAGCCA